UAGCUCAGCAGGUAGAGCAACGCCCUUUUAAGGCGUGGGUCACUGGUUCGAAUCCAGU
rnacentral:tRNA from 1 species